rnacentral:rRNA from 1 species
CGCGUAGGCGGUUUCGGAAGUUAUGGGUGAAAGCCCCCGGCUCAACUGGGGAAUUGCCUGUAAAACCACGGGACUGGAGUGCUGGAGAGGGAAGUGGAAUUCCCAGUGUAGCGGUGAAAUGCGUAGAUAUUGGGAGGAACACCAGUGGCGAAGGCGGCUUCCUGGACAGACACUGACGCUGAGGCGCGAAAGCCAGGGGGAGCAAACGG